rnacentral:rRNA from 1 species
GAUGAACGCUAGCGGCAGGCUUAAUACAUGCAAGUCGAGGGGCAGCAUGAGUGUAGCAAUACAUUUAAUGGCGACCGGCAAACGGGUGCGGAACACGUACACAACCUUCCUAUAAGUGGGGAAUAGCCCAGAGAAAUUUGGAUUAAUACCCCGUAACAUAAUGAUGUGGCAUCACAUUAUUAUUAUAGCUUCGGCGCUUAUUGAUGGGUGUGCGGCUGAUUAGAUAGUUGGCGGGGUAACGGCCCACCAAGUCUACGAUCAGUAGCUGAUGUGAGAGCAUGAUCAGCCACACGGGCACUGAGACACGGGCCCGACUCCUACGGGAGGCAGCAGUAAGGAAUAUUGGUCAAUGGACGCAAGUCUGAACCAGCCAUGCCGCGUGAAGGAUUAAGGUCCUCUGGAUUGUAAACUUCUUUUAUCUGGGACGAAAAAAGGCUAUUCUUAGUCACUUGACGGUACCAGAUGAAUAAGCACCGGCUAACUCCGUGCCAGCCGCCGCGGUAAAAC